UACGAGUGCCCCGAGCGUUAUCCGGAAUUACUGGGCGUAAAGGGCUCGUAGGCGGCCAACUAAGUCGGAUGUGAAAUCCCCAGGCUCAACUUGGGAACUGCAUCCGAUACUGGAUGGCUUGAAUCCGGGAGAGGGAUGCAGAAUUCCAGGUGUAGCGGUGAAAUGCGUAGAUAUCUGGAGGAAUACCGGUGGCGAAGGCGGCAUCCUGGACCGGCAUUGACGCUGAUGAGCGAAAGCUAGGGGAGCAAACGGG
rnacentral:rRNA from 1 species